GACGAGGAGCUUGCUCCUCUGACGUUAGCGGCGGACGGGUGAGUAACACGUGGAUAACCUACCUAUAAGACUGGGAUAACUUCGGGAAACCGGAGCUAAUACCGGAUAAUAUAUUGAACCGCAUGGUUCAAUAGUGAAAGACGGUUUUGCUGUCACUUAUAGAUGGAUCCGCGCCGCAUUAGCUAGUUGGUAAGGUAACGGCUUACCAAGGCAACGAUGCGUAGCCGACCUGAGAGGGUGAUCGGCCACACUGGAACUGAGACACGGUCCAGACUCCUACGGGAGGCAGCAGUAGGGAAUCUUCCGCAAUGGGCGAAAGCCUGACGGAGCAACGCCGCGUGAGUGAUGAAGGUCUUCGGAUCGUAAAACUCUGUUAUUAGGGAAGAACAAAUGUGUAAGUAACUAUGCACGUCUUGACGGUACCUAAUCAGAAAGCCACGGCUAACUACGUGCCAGCAGCCGCGGUAAUACGUAGGUGGCAAGCGUUAUCCGGAAUUAUUGGGCGUAAAGCGCGCGUAGGCGGUUUUUUAAGUCUGAUGUGAAAGCCCACGGCUCAACCGUGGAGGGUCAUUGGAAACUGGAAAACUUGAGUGCAGAAGAGGAAAGUGGAAUUCCAUGUGUAGCGGUGAAAUGCGCAGAGAUAUGGAGGAACACCAGUGGCGAAGGCGACUUUCUGGUCUGUAACUGACGCUGAUGUGCGAAAGCGUGGGGAUCAAACAGGAUUAGAUACCCUGGUAGUCCACGCCGUAAACGAUGAGUGCUAAGUGUUAGGGGGUUUCCGCCCCUUAGUGCUGCAGCUAACGCAUUAAGCACUCCGCCUGGGGAGUACGACCGCAAGGUUGAAACUCAAAGGAAUUGACGGGGACCCGCACAAGCGGUGGAGCAUGUGGUUUAAUUCGAAGCAACGCGAAGAACCUUACCAAAUCUUGACAUCCUCUGACCCCUCUAGAGAUAGAGUUUUCCCCUUCGGGGGACAGAGUGACAGGUGGUGCAUGGUUGUCGUCAGCUCGUGUCGUGAGAUGUUGGGUUAAGUCCCGCAACGAGCGCAACCCUUAAGCUUAGUUGCCAUCAUUAAGUUGGGCACUCUAAGUUGACUGCCGGUGACAAACCGGAAGAAAGGUGGGGAUGACGUCAAAUCAUCAUGCCCCUUAUGAUUUGGGCUACCNACGUGCUACAAUGGACAA
rnacentral:rRNA from 1 species